rnacentral:rRNA from 1 species
CUAGCCCUAAACGAUGUAGACUUGGCGUCGGUGGUUUAAUCGCCAUCGGUGUCGUAGCUAACGCGAUAAGUCUACCGCCUGGGGACUACGGCCGCAAGGUUAAAACUCAAAGGAAUUGACGGGUCCCCGCACAAGCAGCGGAGCGUGUGGUUUAAUUCGAUGCUACACGAAGAACCUUACCUGGGUUUGACAUAGAGGUAGUAGGGAAGCGAAAGCGGACCGACCCUUCGGGGAGCCUCUACAGGUGU